GGCGUAGCCAGGUAGGGGUAGGGUAUAGGGUAUAUAUAUAAAAUAGUACCCUGAAAUGCCAGCUUAAGAGGGCCGAAACAAGUAGUCGUUAUUGGUAUGCAGCGGAAUAUUAUUGUUACAGAGGAACAUAUAACAAUGGUAAAAGAGCCUAACUCGAGUUUAAUUGGUUUUGUAACACCUACUAACGGGAGCAGCGAUGCAAUUACCUCUGAAAUGAUGGAUUUUUUAAAAAGAGAAGAUUAUUCAUUGGAGCAAUUGAUUGCAAUUAACUGCGAUGGAACGAGAUGUAACACUGGGAAAAGCCGAGGUACCAUCUGUAAUUUAGAGCAUAAGUUGGAGCGACCACUGCAGUGGUUUAUAUGUCUGUUUCACUUCAACGAAUUGACGUUUACGGCGGUAUUAAAACACUUCUUAGGGAAGGCUAGUGGGCCACAAAACUGGCCUGGAUUAAUUGGUUAUUCCCUACAAAAUUGCGAAAAUUUACCAGCUGCACACAACUUCGAACCAAUCCCAAUGGGUGAGAUGCCCGAAAAUAUUGACGAGUGGGACUUGAGAGCCGAUCAAAAAUAUUUAUUUAAUUUGGUUUGAGCAGUCGAUAGUGGAGUUUGCAGUGAAUAUCUAGCAAGUAUUAAACCAGGUCCUCGGAAUCUUUCGCGAUGGCUGACAACAGCGGCUAGGGUACUUCGUCUGUAUGUUACGAAGCCAGUGGCUUCAGAAAAGUUAAAAAAACUUACAUUCUUUGUAGUAAAGGUUUAUGCGCCAUUUUGGUUUUUAAUAAAAAAAAAGCCGAAAGCCAUAAAUGGCAGCCGACACUUACUACAGUAUAUUAAAUGGAUUCGACAAUUGCCUACAGAUAUGCAAGAAACUGUACAACACUCUGUGCAAAUUAAUGGGUUUUUCGCUCAUCCGGAAAAUGUUUUAUUAUCAAUGAUAACAGACCAGGAUAAACCAGUACGAAAUGAAGGAUAUGACAAAAUUUUUGAAUUUCGAGCGCAUGGAGUUCAUAACAUUCGUCAGUUUUCGUGCCAAGAAUAAUUUUUGAUGCUACGUCGUUAACGAAUUUAAUUGACUGGGACGAAGUUGGAAAUGUUACAGAACCGCCAUGUUUACAAUUUUAUUCGGAUGAUGUUUUGAUUUCUUUUUACAAUUCCGACAAAGUUAUCAAAAUUCCAGACUUUCCUUGUCAUUCGCAAAACACUGAGCGGUUUGUACAAAUCGUGGCUCAAUCCAGUACCUCAGUCAUUGAAAAAAAUCGUCUUGGUUAUAUUGCUAAUAAAAUAGAAUCACGCAAAUGUUACAAACGA